AUUGAACGCUGGCGGCAAGCCUAACACAUGCAAGUCGAACGAGUGGCGGACGGGUGAGUAAUGUCUGGGAAACUGCCUGAUGGAGGGGGAUAACUACUGGAAACGGUAGCUAAUACCGCAUACCAUCGGAUGUGCCCAUAUGGGAUUAGCUAGUAGGUGGGGUAAUGGCUCACAUAGGCGACGAUACCUAGCUGGUCUGAGAGGAUGACCGGCCAAACGGGAACGGGGACACGGUCCAGACUCCUACGGGAGGCAGCAGGGGGAAAUAUUGCAAAAUGGGCGCAAGCCUGAUGCAGCCAUGCCGCGUGUAUGAAGAAGGCCUUCGGGUUGUAAAGUACUUUCAGCGGGGAGGCGUUACCCGCAGAAGAAGCAACGGCUAACUCCGUGCCAGCAGCCGCGGUAAUUC
rnacentral:rRNA from 1 species